rnacentral:rRNA from 1 species
GUGCCAGCGCGGUAAUACGUAGGGUGCAAGCGUUGUCCGGAAUUAUUGGGCGUAAAGAGCUCGUAGGCGGUGUGUCGCGUCGGCCGUGAAAACCUGGGGCUUAACUCUGGGCGUGCGGUCGAUACGGGCAUCACUGGAGUUCGGCAGGGGGAGACUGGAAUUCCUGGUGUAAGCGGUGGAAUGCGCAGAUUAUCAGGAGGAACACCGGUGGCGAAGGCGGCUUCUUGGACAGAAACUGACGUGAGGCGCGAAAGCUAGGGGGAGCAAACAGGAUUAGAAA